rnacentral:rRNA from 1 species
UGGGGAAUAUUGGACAAUGGGCGCAAGCCUGAUCCAGCCAUGCCGCGUGAGUGAUGAAGGCCCUAGGGUUGUAAAGCUCUUUCACCGGUGAAGAUAAUGACGGUAACCGGAGAAGAAACCCCGGCUAACUUCGUGCCAGCAGCCGCGGUAAUACGAAGGGGGCUAGCGUUGUUCGGAUUUACUGGGCGUAAAGCGCACGUAGGCGGACUUUUAAGUCAGGGGUGAAAUCCCGGGGCUCAACCCCGGAACUGCCUUUGAUACUGGAAGUCUUGAGUAUGGUAGAGGUGAGUGGAAUUCCGAGUGUAGAGGUGAAAUUCGUAGAUAUUCGGAGGAACACCAGUGGCGAAGGCGGCUCACUGGACCAUUACUGACGCUGAGGUGCGAAAGCGUGGGGAGCAAAACAGGAUUAGAUACCCUGGUAGUCCACGCCGUAAAACGAUGAAAUGUUAGCCGUUGGGGAGUUUACUCUUCGGUGGCGCAGCUAACGCAUUAAAACAUUCCGCCUGGGGAGUACGGUCGCAAGAUU